AGCCUUAAGAUUAUAUUUAAGGUAAUGCCUGCCCAGUGCUAAAGUGUUAACGGCCGCAGUACCUUGACUGUGCUAAGGUAGCAUAAUCAGUUGGCUUUUAAAUGGAGUCGGGAAUGAAUGGAUUUAUAGGGUAAAGCUGUCUCUUUUAUAUUUUAUUGAAUUUAAUUAUUAGGUGAAAAUACCUAAAAUUAAGAAAAAAGACGAGAAGACCCUAGGAGUUUUUACUAAUGGUCAAUUUAAGUUGGCUUCUGGUUUUUGUUGGGGCGACAUAGGAACAAACAACUUCCUUACUUUAUAGGCCGACUACGUAUGAAUAAUAAAACUACCCUAGGGAUAACAGCGUAAUUCUUUAUGGAGCUUGCGACCUCGAUGUUGGACUAGGAAUUUGAUUGGCUAGCCGCCACUUUAUAUUGUUCUGUUCGAACUUAAUUUCCU
rnacentral:rRNA from 1 species